rnacentral:rRNA from 1 species
GGAGGGUGCAAGCGUUAAUCGGAAUUACUGGGCGUAAAGCGCACGCAGGCGGUUUGUUAAGUCAGAUGUGAAAGCCCCGGGCUCAACCUGGGAACUGCAUUUGAUACUGGCAAACUAGAGUAUGGGAGAGAGAAGUGGAAUUCCACAUGUAGCGGUGAAAUGCGUAGAGAUGUGGAGGAACAUCAGUGGCGAAGGCGACUUCUUGGCCCAAUACUGACGCUCAGGUGCGAAAGCGUGGGGAGCAAACAGGAUUAGAUACCCUGGUAGUCCACGCCCGUAAACGAUGUCUACUAGCCGUUGGGGGGCUUGACCCUUUAGUGGCGCAGCUAACGCCAUAAGUAGACCCGCCUGGGAGUACGGCCGCAAGGCUA